AGCAGCCGCGGUAAUUCCAGCUCCAAUGGCGUAUAUUAAAGUUGUUGUAGUUAAAAAGCUCGUAGUUGAAUUUCGGGGUCAGUAAGUUGGUCGUGCCACUGGUAUGUACUGGCUUUACUGAUUCCUCCUUCUUGUAGAACCGUAAUGCCAUUAAGUUGGUGUUGCGGGGAAACAGGACUGUUACUUUGAAAAAAUUAGAGUGUUUAAAGCAAGCUAACGCUUGAAUACAUUAGCAUGGAAUAAUGAAAUAGGACGCUCGAUCCUAUUUUGUUGGUUUCUAGGAUUGACGUAAUGAUUAAUAGGGAUAGUUGGGGGCAUUAGUAUUCAAUUGUCAGAGGUGAAAUUCUUGGAUUUAUUGAAGACUAACUACUGCGAAAGCAUUUGCCAAGGAUGUUUUCAUUAAUCAAGAACGAAAGUUAGGGGAUCGAAGACGAUCAGAUACCGUCGUAGUCUUAACCAUAAACUAUGCCGACUAGGGAUCGGAUGAUGUAAUUUUUAAUGACUCAUUCGGCGCCUUACG
rnacentral:rRNA from 1 species